rnacentral:rRNA from 1 species
ACGUAGGGAGCAAGCGUUGUCCGGAUUUACUGGGCGUAAAGAGCGCGUAGGCGGUUUGGUAAGCGGAGGGUGAAAUCCCGGGGCUCAACUCCGGAACUGCUCUCCGAACUGUCAGACUAGAGUACGGGAGAGGGCAGUGGAAUUCCUGGUGUAGCGGUGGAAUGCGUAAAUAUCAGGAGGAACACCGGUGGCGAAGGCUGCUGCCUGGAACGUUACUGACGCUGAGGCGCGAAAGCUAGGGGAGCGAACG